rnacentral:rRNA from 1 species
UACGUAGGGCGCAAGCGUUGUCCGGAAUUAUUGGGCGUAAAGAGCUCGUAGGCGGCCUGUUGCGUCCGCUGUGAAAUCCCGGGGCUUAACCCCGGGUCUGCAGUGGAUACGGGCAGGCUAGAGGCAGGCAGGGGAGAACGGAAUUCCCGGUGUAGCGGUGAAAUGCGCAGAUAUCGGGAGGAACACCGGUGGCGAAGGCGGUUCUCUGGGCCUGUUCUGACGCUGAGGUGCGAAAGCGUGGGGAGCAAACAGG